UGCUGCUCGUGGGUUGGCUGUUUCCUGUGAAGGUCUCUGUGGAGGCAGCAGCAGAGACUGGAAACCUGCGCUGUGGGUCCCAGCUCCAAGCAGAAGGCGGGCCACGUGCGAAAAGCAAGCCGGGCCUGGCGGGGAGGACAUCAGCGCCAUGGCUGCAGGGACAAGAAGCGGCCUUUAGAGACGCUGGAGGCAGCGCCCUUCUCGCCUGCCAGCCUGGGCGGAGGCCCGGAGGGGCACUGAAGCCUGAACCCUGGCUACACUCGGGGAGGGAAAAAGGUUUUGAAAAGAUAAAAACAAAACUUAAAAAAUCAAAUGAAUUAAGAGAAAGCAAGGGCACAUAGAAUAAUUUUUGCCAGUGUGAGGACUUGUGGAAAUUACUUAUCUAAUAUACUUUUACUUUCUUUUCUUUCUUUUUUUUUUUUUUGUCUUUUUGAGACAUGCAGUUCAGGCUGGCCUUGAGCUUGCAGCAAUUCUGCUGCCUCGGCCAUGCCGGGCCCUUCUUCAUCUUCUUCUUUUUCUAAAGCAGCUAACUGAAGUUGCUCUGAUGCUUGGUUGAAAGCCUUGGUGACUUAGUGGCACGGCCCGGGUCUCAUCGGGAGUGAAGCAGCUGUGUGACCUGGAGGACAGAAGAUUCCAGAGGCCGCAGGUCCCAGCGCGGCAGUCGGCUGCCAGGUUUGAAGAGGCUUAAACAAUAGCUUUCAAUUUCAUCUUGAUUGGUUUCAAAAGACUCUCAAAGCCUGCCUGGGGAAGGAAGCCCUGCACCCUUAGGAGCUGCAAGGCACAGGUAGCUCGGAGUGUGGGUGCGUGCACGCCUGCUGGGUGCCGGGUGGGAGCCACGCUCCUCCACGGCCUUCACAGCAGGCGCAGUGGGCAGCAGAGCCCUCGUCCUGCUGGGUCUCCCCAGGGUGCUGGCACUGAGCUCCAGCAGUCAGAAACUUGGUGACAGCUAUGACCGGCAUGUACUCCAUCAGAUGUCACCAAAAAUGACCAGGGGGACACAGAGGGAGGGGCUUUUGGGCCAGCAAGGUCUGGGUUUGGGUCCAGCCUUUGGCACUGAGGAGUUCAGGUGAGGACCUCGCCUUUCACGUAGGUUCCUGCGUUGUUGUUUGCCGCACAGUAGGUGCUCUGAGCACUGCGUCCUUCAGGCUCCUUGUUCCUUUGUGAUCUCAGAGAAGAGAAACUCCACAGCUCUUUCUAAAGAAGAGCCAGUCUGAUUUUUUAAAGGUAAACUAAAUCUUCAGUAGAUAGGUUCCUGGACCCGCAGACGUUAGCUGUCUGGCUGAGACAUCCCGGAUUCGUGCCAGUGACGAGCCGCUCCAAGGAACCAGUUAGCUGGAGAUCUCAGGGCGGUCUCUGGUCUAACAUGAGAGUGUUCUCCCGGGCGUGAUGAUGAUGGGGAUGGUGAUGGCCGUAGUCAUAGCAAUGCUACGGUCACAUCUUCUUAAAUGUCCCUGGCCCGUCUUCAGCUGGAGCAGCACUAGAUGAUGCCGGGGACUAUCACACGACUACUGUGCACACCCCUCAUCGCUCCUCAAAGGGCUUGUCUACCUCGAUCCUCGAGAAGACGCGAAUAAAGGUGAUUAAUGAUUUGCAGAGACCUCACAGUAGACAAAUGAAGAAUCUUAAUUUGUGUGGUUUCAACAAAUUCUCGUUUUCAACAAAUAAUUGCGAAGAAGCCUUUUCGAACCUCAGAAUCCACUUGCAUAGAAAAGAAAUGUUAAUUAAAUUUCUGGGUUAUUUAAACAGUUUUAAGGAGAAAAUGAAAAAAACUAGUUUAUUCAUGAUUAAUGGAAGAUGGGGUGAAUAAUAAUGGUUUUGUCAUACAGCUAUCGUUCUCAGAGGUUAAUUGGGUUUCGAUAGAAAAUGAGGCUGACGUUCUGUAAUGGGUUCCAAACCCCCGAGGGUGACUUCUACUUUAUAACCCACUGUGCCCUUCAUCUGACUUUUAUCAUGGGGACGAUGUGCUGUCCCCCGACAGACAGCUCUGUGUAUACACACGCAACUGAACGGUUUAGGGUCUCAUGCCAGUUCUGUUAAAUCUAUGCAAAAACUUCAGCUAAAAAUUUCAUCCUAAGGUUUAAAGACAUCUUUUCUCCCGUGGCGACUACCAAUACUUCAAUCAAUAAUCAGGUUAAACACUGGAAAGUAUUAGCCCAGCUGCGCUGCUGGGGAGCUGGCACGAUGGAUGUCAGGCAGCACUACGGAGAGCGUUUUCCCGCAGCCUUAGCUGCACUGUUUAGGUCACCUUAGCAAGAUCGGGGAGGUAUCUGGGAUGGAAGGGACGUUUAGCUUCAGGUGGUGGUCACUGUCCGUGCCGUACAAACUCAGCGUCUCAAGCAAUCGUACAGAACAUAGUGUGCCCCUGUUGUCCUGUAGAUGGUGUCAAAGCUGCUGUGUCAUUGCAGAUUCUCAUGGCCUCCCUGUAACAUGAAACAGGUUAUUGUGGAGGACACGUGUGCCUACAGACUCUGCAAGGUGCCACACACACAGAAGGCCCCCAAAGUGUCCUGCUCAAGGCAUUGGGGUGCAGUGCGAGGCUCUGAGGGGCAGUGUGUUUCUUUAAGGCACACAGCCUGUGAGGGGUUUGAGAUUCUGAAGUCAUUAAUUAAUAACAGGCUGUGUUAAUCAAUACAAUAGGUAUCCACUGUAAUGGCUUAGAACAUGAUGGCUUUUAAUGGCUCAAGUAUAAAUGUUAAUUGAUCUACAGUAAAGGGAAAUUUCUGUCUAUUGGGUCAAUAGUUUAUGGAUUAUGACUACCUUUUAGCUCGGGAUUGCUAACAAAUGAGCCUUCUUCUUCCCCUGCUGCCUGGUCUGUUCUCUGCUUUAAUCAGAAAUGCCUGUAAAGCAGGUACAUUAGACCAAUUAUUGGUGUAGAAUCCAGUAACGCUCACAAAGCCCCAGAGGUCCUUUGGGAUGCCACAGGGGGACCUCAGUGUCCAGCCUACAGCAUGGUGCAUGUGUGCGCCUUGGAAAAGGUGCUCACGCUUCUUUCAGGAUUUUAUGGUGUGUGCAUAGCCUACAAGUGAGCAAACAUUCGCUAGAUCGUCAAGAAUUUCAUGUCCUAAGUGCUUAAUGUAUGCAAAAUUGAGAGAUAUGUAGCAAAUGUGUCAUCUGCCAGAAUAAGUAGCCUCUGAUAAAAUCAUGUUGUUUAUUCUCACAUCUGCAGGGAAAAGCAGGCACAUUUAGAACGAGCUUAACACCAAAGCAAGAGCCGGCAGGUGGGCUCUCCCUAGGAGACUCCUAUGGCAGCCUGGGCCUUGCUUAGUGAUGUUCCCGAGACGAGACUCGGGAGUUGGUUACUCCAUUGGGCAAUGUGCAGACGAUGGUUGGACAGACGGACGCACAGACACUGGUUCCUUCUCCACCAGGUGGCGGGUGACACUGCCUCCCCUUCCUCGGUGCGGCCCCUCUUCAGUGCUCCACCCUGGAGUCUGCUUUGGAAUGGUGCCAGUUAUCAUGUUUAUUUAGGCAAAUUCAACAUCAGAAGGCUGAUUCUGUGAUAUUUGAGGAGACUGUGAGUUUGGCACUGCGUCUUGGGCAGUUGUGACACACCUGCACGUGAAGUCACGGAAGUCAGAGUGAGCGAUCCGGGGACAAUGGCUCUUCUCGCUGAACUUUUUGUCCCUGGGGUCACCUCCUCGGCCUGGUUUGCAGUUUUCAGUACUAUCUGCCGAUUUCUUUGCAGGGAGGACAGGAAUUGAUAGACCUUCUCCUCCCGGCACCCUUCCUAGGAGGACUCUUCCACCGUGAACGCCUUCGAAGUUUCAGAGUUUGCCCUUCUCUCCCUCAUCCGUCUCUCGGUGCAUUCAGACACCUUAGAUCAUCCCUCCGAGGACAGCAGGGAAAGCCGGGCAAGAACGCUCUUUUCCCAGUGGCAGUGUGUGUGUGUGUGUGUGUGUGUGUGGCAGGCUGGGGGAACUGAUGAGAAGGACGGAUCAGCAGAGAGACAGGAGACACUGAGAAGAGAAUGGAAGAUCUAAGAGGAAACCAGGAGGGAUGCGCAGGAGACUGUGUGGAAAGCCCCAGAAGAAUCAACUCAGACGUCUACCCAGCACGCCUCAGAGCAGCUGCUAGCGUUCGGGUUUCCAAAGCCUGAAUGCAGAGAGACACAGCAAGCAACUUCGGAGUGCUCACUGAGCAACUUGGCUCUCAAGGAAGCGAGAUGGAGGAGCAUUCAGCAACAGCUGGAUGGAGACAAAAGAUUACACUCGGGUUUCCUUUUUCGUGAUGUGGUAGAUGUAGCACGCUUCGGGACGAAGGUGUGAAGUGACCGAUCAGUGUUUUCUCGUCCCACCCCUUUGGCUGCAUCUGUAGUCUAAGGACAAUGAUGCACCCUUUGAUAUUGUCCUUUACGGUGUCUACGGCUGGAGGAGUUGUCUUCGUCUGCACACCCCUGCACGAGCACACACACACAGAGGAGCCCCCUGUGCACGCGGGCACGGGGCGUGAACACGGCCCCCCCACCCUUCUCAGAGCCCUCUAGGUCCUGCUGGGCUUUGCGCUUCCUCUCACCUCCUUAGCUUUUUGUUGAUCUUCGCUAAGGAGAAUCUUCUCUAUUCUUGCUCUUUGGCCGGAUUUAUCUGUCUGUCUGCCUGCUGCUUUUAUUUCUUUCAAACCCACAGCUCUAUCGUGUGUUGACUAACUCCGUCACACCAUAAAACUGCUGUUACUAUUCAGAUUGCACGCAUAUCCAGACAUUCUGCAGCAGAGAGAGACUCCCUCUGGGUGAGUAACCUAUUCUGGGACGUAUUUUAGUACGACUGUCACCAGAAACACCACGAUCUUAAACAACAUGUGGACUCAGCACCACAGAUGAGCAGACCUUUUAUGUGCCCGGAAUUGAACCUGGACACGGAGGCGUUUGGGGCUAAACUUCACUUGCACAUUGCAUUCUGUCUGCUUCUCGAUUUGCUUUUUAAAAAUGACUUUGCUCAGCCAGAGCACCAAGGGUUGAUUAUUAAAUGGGCAUGAAAACAAA